UUCAAGUCUAGCUCCAAUCGAACAUAGGAACAUCAUUAGUCAACAUCUGCAUGCAAGGUGCAGAAGUGUAUUAUGAGUACAACUGAACCCAUGUACUCAAUAUGUAACAAACCUAACCUUGGGUAGAAACUAGUCACAAACAGGAACAAGGUUGGGUUCAACACCAAAAGCCAACAACAGUUCAUAACAACGUAAAGCAAGUAAUUAAAUAAGUAACUUGGAAUUGAAAUGCUCAGAUUAUUU
rnacentral:lncRNA from 1 species